UGGGGAAUCUUGCACAAUGGGCGCAAGCCUGAUGCAGCAACGCCGCGUGCGGGAAGAAGGCCCUAGGGUUGUAAACCGCUUUCAGCAGGGAAGAAACUGACGGUACCUGCAGAAGAAGGUGCGGCCAACUACGUGCCAGCAGCCGCGGUGACACGUAGGCACCAAGCGUUGUCCGGAUUUAUUGGGCGUAAAGAGCUCGUAGGCGGUUCGGUAAGUCGGGUGUGAAAUCUCUGGGCUCAACCCAGAGGGGCCACCCGAUACUGCUGUGACUAGAGUGCGGUAGGGGAGUGGGGAAUUCCUGGUGUAGCGGUGAAAUGCGCAGAUAUCAGGAGGAACACCAGUGGCGAAGGCGCCACUCUGGGCCGUAACUGACGCUGAGGAGCGAAAGCGUGGGUAGCAAACAGGAUUAGAUACCCUGGUAGUCCACGCCGUAAACGUUGGGCACUAGGUGUGGGUCUCAACCAACGAGAUCCGCGCCGUCGCUAACGCAUUAACG
rnacentral:rRNA from 1 species